CACAGAGUGAACUUCUCUCAUUCAAGAAUAACAUACAAUACGCUUGUUUAAAAGAAAAGAAACAUCAAAAUGGCAAAGCGGUUGGGGCCAAUGGAUAAGUUGGGAUCUGCGAAAAAGCCCAAAUUAGACGUUAGUGUAAGCCGCGGGCAAUUCAGCUCGACCACUUCUAAUAUUGUGGAUUUCUGGGCAAAUGACGACGACGAUGCUGUGUUGUUAGCUACUCAAAUAGCAGAGGAAAAGCAGCGGCAAACUAAUGGCAUGGAAUUUACAUUCAGUUCAUUUGCGCCUCACACUCGUGGAAUUACGAGCACACAACAUAUAUUUCAAAAUGAUAUGCUAAAUAUGAGAGUGGAAGAAAUAUUUGGUACUGAUGAAACCUUUGUUUUUUUACCCGAUGCUGGCCGAGAGCAACAAAAACCAACUUAUGAUGAAUUUGAUGCAACGAGAACUAGGCGACAAGUGGAACAGGAACGACAACUCAAAUUUCUAAUGGAACGUAUCGAUGUGCUUAAGAAGGAGAAUGAAAAAUUGCACAGACGCCUUAUAGAAAGCAAUAAUCGAGCGGGCGGCAAUGAAGGCGAGGUCAGCCUACUCCGCAAUGAACUCCGACAAGCACGUAAACUGCUUCAAGCUAGCAAGAUCGAAAAGUUUGCAAUAGCUGAAGAAGGGGAAAAGGACUGCAAUAAGAAAGUAGCUGAAAUCUUAAAAUUCGAAACGCAAACAGCAAUGAAAGGAGUAUAUUUAAAAAUAACGAUGUAAUCGUCACCGAUACUGACGAAUGUCGUAAUUUGCUUCGCAUAGAAGAUUUAUGUAUUGUAAGCCCUUCCACGAAUCAGUUUUUCACCAAACCACACUACGAGUACGCCAAAGAUGCACAUGCAAAGAAACAGCGCACUUUUUUUGAAAUGGAGCUUGAGCAACUUCUAUAUUACGCAAAAGGGUUUUCCGAGCGCAGCACGGUUGAAACGACCACAGGUCGCAUAAUAGAAUCAGUCUGCAGAGUCUUUACCGAGUUUUGGACCUAUACCCAAAGCUUGGAGUUACCACAAAACUGUAUGAUGUAUCCCUAUCAUCGUUUCGACCUACAAUCAGAUCACCGUACUUAUAUGCGAUAUUGAUUAAUUCAACCAGGCGCUUUAUACAACCCAGAGCAAGCCAUCCCAUUACGUCGCUAUGUUGGCACAUUGGCACAGAUUUGUCGAGAACAGAGCAGCAUAUCACAUACAUUGCUUCAAAAAAGUAUGGUAAAUACUGGGUAUUGCAAAUAGUAAUCGAGGCGAUAACUAAAAUAAGUUACUCUUCCGAGGUAUUCGAGCAUUUUGGUGUCCUAGAGGCAACUGCAGCGCUCCUGCACAGCUUUCUGGUUCACAUGAAUCCUGUGGUGAUGUCUACAUCCGGACCUCAACUUGAAUUGCUGUUUGAUUUAUUAAAACAUUUGGUCUUUACUCGUCCAAGUCCCUGGGUUUUUCGCGAACUCAGUGCAUGCAUGUUAUUAUGCUCACGUUACGGUUGGCUUAUGACAGGAAUGUGUGUUAAUAGUCCAAGUAAUUACUUUAUAUCUGAUCGCGUUCGUUCGGUUUACCGGUUUGGGUCAAAAUCGUGUUUAAUACAGGUCUACGCGGGACUCAUCGAGCUAUGUUUAUGUAGCGAACUGCCUCUACAACCGAAUCAUUUUAAACUUUUGCUAGCGAUAUGCUCAAAUCAUGUGCGAUUCGUAUACAGCUGUUUCGCAGCCACUCCUCAAUUCAUACUGAGAAUGCUUUCAUUUCCAUCCCUUACUGAUGAGGAGAAAGAGGAAAAUAAGAAUAUGCCCUCAAAAGUUGGCAGUUUACACUCUGGUGUAACGCUUACCAAUUACAAUUCCGCAAGUAGUGUUAAUGCUUCCGCCAUUAACUCAGCGAACAUAUCAAAGUUCUCCUUAAUACCAGUGCAGGACCCGGUACCGCACGAAGUUGGUUGCGAAUGCUAUGUUAAGCUUUGUCUAAGCGUUGUGACGAUCGUUUUUCAAAUGAUGUUCCAAUGGGUGAUCCAAGAUAAAAAAUCAGACAUUUCACAAGUUGGGGAAAUCUCACAUAUUGCCGUACAUUUACUUACACUUAUUUUUCGUGAAUAUUACGUCUCGUGCCUUUUUCGGGAUUCGGAAGAAACAACAAAACAUUAUCUAUUUCUACUAUGCAAUUGGUGGAAGGAUCACGCGCGGAUCUUGAGUUUCGAAGAUUCACAUUUACGAUUUUUAAGACAACUGCAAGACAUGCAGUUUAUGUUAAGGCCUUUGCACAAAGAAGGAAAUCCCAGCAAUCCAAACAAUGACUUGGCUGAAUGGACAAGUAUUGUGUGAUGGGAAUAUACCAUAAUGUGUUUGAUCAGCUGUCUUAAUUAGUCCUGAAUCUCUAUUAGCUUGUGAUUCAAAUGACUUUUUUAAUGACUUGAAAAGGAUUGCUUAUAAUUUGGAAUAAACAUAAUAAUAAUUUUGUCCAUAAAAAUGUAAAUACUUAUCUAGUAAUUUUCUUAUUGUUGUUUGUUAAUAUGUAUAAUUUACUUAUAGUUUUUGGGGGGAAAUACAAUUGGGAAAUAUUUAAAGAUGUAUUUGUUUGUAGAUAAUUUAUAAAAAAUCAAUAAAUAUGUAUAUAAAAG